AAAUAAACAUUAAAACAAUUUUUUUAAGAAAAAAAAUUUAAAAAGACCCAAAAAGAACAAACUGCAAGUAACUUUUAAAUGCACCAUAGAACAAACCUCAUGAAUAUUUGUAUAAAAACAAAACGAUCCAGAACUCAAUAGAGUAAAAUUCAUGACUGGCAAAAACAAAAAACAAACAAAAAUACCCCCCAAACCAUUAUACCCUUGCAAAGCAAUAAUAAAAUAUAAGCCACAUUGAGGAGAAAAAAAACCCCAAUAAAUUGAAACUGGACUAGAACUAAUAAAAUGUUAAAAUCAACAAAUGAGGACAUUGAUACUGUUAGUACAACUAUAUUACAUAUGUUCAAAGAGUUGAGAAGAGGCAUGGAAGAUAUAAAUCCACCCAAUUUGAAAUUCUAAACAUAAAAAGUUUGAUGUGUGAGAUGAAAAAAAAAUCUGAAUGCGAUUAAGCAAGUUAGGAGACAUUAAAAAGGAAAUAUUUUAGAAUGGUUAAACUUGAAAAUGUUGACCACACCAAAUGUUGAUAACGAAGUAGAGAAACUGGAUAUCUCGUGAACUGCUUAUGGGAAUGUCCAAUAAUAUAACUACUUUGAGAGAUUGACAGUUUCUUAAUCUGUUUAACAUAUGUGUGCAAUAUAAUCUAGUCACUCCACUCUUCAGCCUUUUCCCAAAGAAAAUGAAAGCCUACAUCCCUACAAAGAAUUGGGCACAAGUUCACACAAUAGCUUUAUUUGUAAUAUUCCACUAAAAAGACCAAAAUGCCUAUCAACAGGUUAAUGGGUUGGCAAACUUUGGUAUGUCCAUGUAAUGGAUACUUGUCAGCAAGAAAAAGGAACGAACUAUUGAUAUAUGCUACAAAAUGGAUGAAUAUUAACAUCGUUAUGCUGAGUGGUAGAAUCGAGACAAGAAAGCAUACAUACAGUAUGAUUCCAGUUAUAUAAAAUUCUAGAACAUAAAAACUAAUCUAUAGUGACAGAAAGCCUAUUAGUUGUUGCUUCGAGAAGGGGGAGGAGGGACAGAGAAGGUUGAGUGGGAAUGACUGCAAGGAUCCGUUGGUGGGUAUUGAUAUACUCAUGAUCUUGAUUGUGGUGAUGGUUCACGGUAGGUACACAUGAAAACUAAUCAAAUUGUAUACUUUUAAUAUGUGCAGUAUAUUGUGUGGUGUUAAAAAAAAAAAGAGGAACCUGGAGAACAAAGGUUUUACAGGGAGUCAUAGGUAGAACUAUUAAAGUCAUAUUUCCUUUUUCUAUAAUGCAUUUCCUUUAUUCUUAAAAGUAUUUGAAAACAACAUUGAUUAUUAGAUGUAGUGUCAUGUGUAAAUGCAAUCCAUAAUAAUUUACAGUUCUGUCCUACUUCUUCCAAAAUCAAAGCACAACUGCAACUGUUAUUCACACGGAUGUUGAAAGGCUGGGAGUCCACAUGUUGAUGGAGCCACCAUAGCCAUGGUUACAAUAUUGCUUAUUGUGGACUCCGUGACAACAAAGGAUGUGCGAUGAAAAUUCACUAGUCUAUACAGUAAUAUGCACUUCACACAGUGUUUGGAGUUUCUCACAUUUUAUCUUAGAGCCACCUGCAAGCUCAUUAAACACAGAUAUCUGGGACCCAUUACCAGUUUCUGACUGAGUAGGUCUGGUAGGGGGCUGAAAAUUUUACAUCUCUACCAAACUUACAGAUGAUGCUGAUGAAGUUGCUCGAGGGACCACACUUUAAGAAUCACUAAGAUAAAUGCCCUAGACAAAAAGACAAGGAAUCCCUUCAUGCAGUUGAAUUUAAUUAUUCAUUUGGGUUUGGAUUUAAAUAUGUCCAGGUGGCAGAGAGCAAGCAAGCAUCUGAGCAGCCCAGGGGAAAUACCCCUGUCAGAUGCUCAUCCGUCCUUUCCUGUUUCCUGGAUCCAUUUAGCUCACCACAAACCUAUUUUGUAGGUGUAGGAGUCACACACAGAUCUUUCUACUUUUCAAAUUUAAAAUGUUUAAUGGUAGUCAAAGGUAGCACCGUGUGCAGUUGAAUCCUCGCAGAACCAAUGAAGAUCAUUGUCCACUUGUAAGUUCAACAAGGUGUUUAAACGCCUGUCCUAUGUCACACUCUGUGUUAGGUACUUGAUAUUCAGUGGUGAGCAAGUUGGGCACGGUCUUUACCUCUUGGAAAUUCCUGUCUAUUGGAAAAAUUGUCAUUAUAUCAAUAAUCAUCCAAAUAAAAGAGCACAAUUAUGACAAAUGUACAGAAGGAGAGCUGUAAAUAUUAUUGACAAAAAUAAUGUUCCUGUGAAGACAAUACAUGUAAUUCUAUAACUUGAUUGGAUCUGUAUCUGCCUCCAAUUCUAAUGAUAAUUUCUGAUAUAGUUUGCACUGGUCAAUUCUAGCAGACAAUUUUAAAGCGUAUGGCACUCCACCUCCCAUUUACAUUUUCAUUGCCUUUGGUUUUAUCCCUGAAUUUGUAUCUUCUUUCUCUUGUAAGUUGAUUUAACUUCUACCUUUUAUUACUUUUAUAUUUUUAGAAGUUAUGGUGUCAGUUUAUUUAAUGUUUAUCUUUUCUUUGACUGAUUUCAUCUCAACCAAAAUAGAUCUCUUGUUUAAUUUGUUAUUGUACAUUUGGAAGAGAAUCAGAUUUUCUGAGCUUCACUAAAUUACUUCUUCUUUUACAAGACAAAUGCUUCACAGGAGACCUGAAUAGUUCAUGAAAGCAAAAGGAAGGCAAAUCUCCUUAUUGACCAAAAAUUACACUAACAAUUCAACAGACGAACUUCAACAGAUGAUGAGCAAAGUUGCUAAUUAAUAAACUGUGGAGUUUAAAAAAUAGAGGGGACUAUAAAUUAAACAUUGAGCUACAUUCCUGACUUUGUACAUGACCAUGAGAAUGUCAACUCUCAACUAUCCUCAGACUUUCAUCUAAACAAGAAGAAACACGUGAACUACAACGGUAAAUAUGAGGAACAAAGACUGAUGGAAGAGGAAGCAAAAAGGCAAUGGAGGAAAUAUUUUAGGAAAUUAUGGUAUAAAAAGUAGAAAAGAGGAGAGGUAGAAAGGAAUUAUUCAAGAAAAUAUAAAAGGGAAAAAGUCAGUAUUAGACAUUCAGAUUCAACAGAUAUUUUUGAACCUCUGUGGGCGUGCCUGUGUGCUGGGCUCUGAACAAAAUGAAAAAGGCCUCUGCUUCCAAGGAACUUAUAUUGUAGUUGUUGCGCAUCAGUUAAGAUUAGGUGGUCUGUAUGAGAAAAAUGUGUGAAAAGAUUUUAAAAGUCAUAUUUUUUUUCUUUAACCCAAAAUAAAACUGAACUUAACCCAGUGUUGGUUAAAUUCUACCCUGAAGGCAAUCAUUGUUCAAAACAGCUGCUGUGGCCCCAGCUUCCCCAUCCAUUACCAGACAGCAAAAAAGGGGAAGAGAAAAUAAAGCCAAAGGGAAAUAUUAUCCCUUAAGGAACUGACCAUACUAGGAGUCUCUUCCCAAAACUUUCAACUUCUAACUCAUUAGUCAGGGUUUAGUCAUGUUGAAACCUUUAGCAUAUAUGGAAGAGUGGGAAAUAAAAUAUUUUUGUUGGGCAUAUCACUGCUCCAAAUAAUACUCGUUGUUUGCUCUUAAAGCAGAAAGCAAGAAUGGAUAUCAUGUAGGGAUCCAGUUGGCUCUGCCAUGGAUAGAAAUGUGAACAAUGUGAUCUUUGAUUAUUAUUUUAUAUUUAUUUGCUUCUUAAGGUCUUCAAACCAUGGAUAUAUUUAUAAUGAUAAAAAAAAGAGACUUAUGUUGCCUGAGUCUAUUUUCUCCUAGUUGGCCCUAUCAGUUAUUGUUCAUCUAAAUCUACUUUUCCUUUUUUCCAUUCCCUAAGAGCUUACUUGUUUUUAGUGGAACUGGGAAAAUUGUUUAAACUCCAACGUGACUCACAGAACUACUUGCAGAUGUUGCCUUUGAACAUUUGGAGACUAAUGAGAGCUGCACACUAAUCUCAUUAGAUUAUUCACAAAUAAAAACAAUAAUUUUAUAUUCUUAAUAGUUUAAGAUCCAGAGAUUUGGCACAAGACACUGCCAAUUCAACCCUAUUUCCAGUUACUCAUACUGAGGACAUAUCUAAAUAAGUUCCAGAAGCACCUUAAAGUUUCAAUCCCAUUAUAAUUCCUGUGGCUAAUUACUGGUGGCAGAAGGACUGAGUUUCUCUUUCACAUAUUAGUUUUGGAAAGUUAAACUCUGUUAGAGUACUAAUAAGGAGUAUGCUGAUUGCUUCUCAGCUCCUACUUCCCUCCCUCACACUAUUAGAAAAUAAACGAAUGGUUAAAUCUUUCUCUGAAUCAAUCAUGCAAUUUCCUGAGCACAGGAGCUUUACAAUUUGCAGUAUGCUUUUCCCUGUAGUAUCUCACUUUAUUCUCAUACUUUCCCUGUAAAGUAUAACAAUUUGCAGUUAUUACCCACAUUGUACCGUAUCUGAGGGUCUGAGGAGUGACCUGAAUUGUUCAAGUCACUUGGCCUGUAAAGUUUGAACUAUGACAGAUUAAAAAACAUUUUUUCACUAUAAUUAAUGUCCUUUUAAUCUACCCACAAAUUUUCAGUAAAAUUAUUUUCCUAUGUUGCUGUUACCAAUACAGAAGAAAAAAACAAAAAAACAAAAAUUUUCUAUGUUGCUUCUGCAUUCCCCUCUUUUAAUUACAUUCAUACACACUUUCACAUCUCUCCCUUUUCUUCCCUUCCAGAGCAAUUUGUUUUGUAGCGAUCCCUUAAUUAAUGCCCGUUCUUCACCCAUUGGUAUAAAGGGCAGGAAUGAAAUAUCAAAACUUGCUUUGUAAUUGUAGAUUCACUCCUGCUGCGAGGCUGAAUGAAAGGAAUAAAAUUUCAAUUAAGCAAUUACGGAGGAGUGCCGCUGAAAGCCUCAGGGGUGCAACUGUUCCUCUCCAUGAUUUUUGCAGCCCUCAUUGACCAUAUGUUGAAUUUCCAUUUUCCAUGGUUUCCUCUCAGGCGGAAAUCUCCACAUAUUGACAUGUGUGUAAUGGAGGAGCACCACGUGAGGCCCAGUUUUGUAUUUAUCCAAGCCCACUUGCUUCAAUGUCUGUGACAAGAGUAGAAUGGGUACCAGCAAGAGGCCGGACAUUUUCGAUGCCCUGUCAAAGCCUGGCUGUUCUUGGUCCUGUGAUGAUAUGGAAAUGGCUCCCUUCUUAUUGUGCAAGCCAAGCUCACAUGUGGAUUAGCCCUUUGAACACCAAGUCCCUUUCUUUGCUUUCAUUGUUUAGUACUUGUAAGCCAGAACCUGCAUAAAGAGUAGGCAUUCCCGUUUCCAACCACGUAGACUGACUUCAGAAAGCCUAAGAGAGGCGAGCUCAUAGAGUCACGUUGUCUCCAAGAUACCAAAGGAGCCAAGUUUGAUUGUGUUUUCCUGUCUUUCAACUCAUAGACUUCAGGUUCCUGCGAGUUGUGAGCACAAACUAUCACUCUAUAGAUACUCAAGGCACUUGGAAUCAGUCACCACAUGUCUAACCCACUGGAAUUAAUUUGGAGUAACAACAUGUUCUGUGGAUAUUUCUUAGUUGCUUUUUUUUUUUUUCAGUGCCUUUGCUCUGAGAUUAUAAAGCACAUAAUUUUAAAAAUUCUAAUAGUUCUAAAUGUGAAAAUAAUGCUUUAAUACUAAUGUAAUAUACUAGUACUACUAAUAUGCUACAUUUACAUUACAAUUCAAAUUUGUCAUGUCAUUAUUGUUUCUUUGCAUUGCUGACCUUGAUGUUAAGAAACAGAAACAUGUGGAAGCAGUAGUGAUCUUUUGUAACAUUAUUUUAUGAAAGGGGAUCUAGGAUUCUGAAGCAGAAGUAUUCAGGAGUUUGUUUUUAAAUGUUAAUACCAUUGUCAAUAUACUCUAGAACUUAAAAAAUGUUACAAAGAGUGCUGAAGAAAGAACUUUAUUUUUUAAAAACAUGCAAAAUAAAAAGGAAUAUUCAUUGAAUCUUCUCCAGUCCCUAUCCCUAAUACCUGAGCCUGCAGAAGUGAACACAGACCGCACUAUCCUUUGCAAACAGGGUUUCGAGGGCUCCCUGUUGGACCAAGCCCAGUGUCCUCACUGGUGCAUUCCAAACUGUAAUGGUCUGAUCCAUGCUUUGUUUAACUUCUCUAUUUCCACUGUCUCACUUAAGUUCCAGUAAUAGCAUUUUACUGAAUUUUCCUGAAUAGUUUUAAGCUCCUACAUAAUUUUCCUAAAUUGCUUCAGCCUACAAUGAUCUUCCUUUCUUAUGGAUUGAAUUGUGUUCCCCCCAAAAGAUACGUUGAAGUUAUAACCCCCAGUAUCUCAGAAUGUGACCUUAUUGUGAAAUAAGGUUAAUGUAGAUGUGAUUAGUUAGGGUAGGUGGGCCACUAAUACAGUGCGCUUGUGCGCUUACUCAUAAGACAAUGGCCAUAAGAAGGUUCAAACACACAGGGAGAAGUGAUGUAUCUAUAAUGACUGCCAACCAUCACCAAAAGCCAGGUGAGAGACAUGGAGCAGAUUCUCCCUCAUGAAAAAACCCUUAGAAAAAACCAACCCUAUAGACACUUUGAUUGUGGACUUCCAGCUUCCAGAAAUAUGAGAGAAUACAUUUUUGGUGUUUUAAGCUACCCAACGUGUGGUGUUUUAUUACA